rnacentral:tRNA from 1 species
GGGAGCGUGGGGUAGCCUGGCAAUCCUUCCGAUCUCCAAAAUCGGCGACGCGAGUUCAAAUCUCGCCGCUCCUG